CCCGCCUCGAGGAGCUGGCCGGGAUCUCAGCCGCCCCUCCAAGAGCAGAGGUACCCAGCAGAGUCGUGUGGUGGAGGCGGAGGGGGAAGACGGCUGAGCUCCAGGGGACGGGGCAUAAAUUACCUUGGGCUGUUUCCAUCACCUUCAGAGUGUUCAACAAAUGUUACUCACUCACUUACCUUCCCCGGUCCUUACCUCGUCAGUGGAAUGAGGACGGAGAGCAUUAGCUCCAGAGAAGAGGGUGGGACUCUGAAGCCGCCACAUCUUCAUACAAACGUCAGGAGAAGAUGCGCCCAAGGUCACAGACCAGGGCAGUGUCUCCAUGGGGUAGACAACGGGGUUCCUGGCUCCCUCCCCUGUGUCCAGACCAGUAAACCAAACAAUAAAAGUCUCUGGUAUGCAGAGGCUUUUAGCAA